ACCAGUCACUACAGACACCAUACACACAAACUCACAACCAGUCACUACAGACAGCAUACACACAAACUCACAACCAGUCACUACAGACAGCAUACACACAAGCUCACAACCAGUCACUACAGACACCAUACACACAAACUCACAACCAGUCACUACAGACAGCAUACACACAAGCUCACAACCAGUCACUACAGACACCAUACACACAAGCUCACAACCAGUCACUACAGACACCAUACACACAAACUCACAACCAGUCACUACAGACAGCGCACACACUCUCCCAUUAUCGACUUUGGUGACAACACUCCCAACCCCCAACACGACAUCUCUAACCACACCUCUAGUCUCUUUCCUCAGCUCUCCAACUAGGCCAGUUACAGUACUCACAUCUACCUACACCACUGAUACCGCCUCAGCAGCCAGGCCCUCUCAGCUCACUUCUUUGACAGAUGAGACCGCUACCACACACACAGCUACCCUCACCCCCUCCCUCAGACCUUCCACUUUCACAGACUUAGAGAGCUACCUGACUGACAGCACUUCUGCAGUCUCCUCCUUCCUAGGCACACAGCUCCACACUACCACAGCCGCAUCUCUGACCCACACACCCACCAGUGCUGAGCCAUUGGUUACUACGGCAGGAGGCACUCACACCCUCCUAGUCACCAGCACUCCACCAGCCCACAGCGCUCUCAGCCUUUCUUCCUCCACCCUCCAGAGCACAGAAACACAGUUUGUCAGCACACAGCACACCUCGCCCAGCAGUGGGACAGUUAACCCCUCAGGUACAGAAAACCCCACUAGUCCCCAUGCUACAAGAACUCCAGAAACAACUGUAUUCUCCUCAUCCAUUUCUGACAGCAGUACUGGGAUCACAUGGAUGAGCAGUGGGCCAUCAGCUCCAGUUACCAACCAUACCCUCCACACUACAGUGGGGCUCACCCCAGCAUUCACCACCACCACAACACUCAUAUCUCCCAAAACAUCAGCUCUUCCUCAAAGUCAGCAACCCUCCCCUAGCCCUGCUGUAACAUCUACCAGGAAAACCACACUAAAGCAAACCACAGACCGUCUUAACACACAGCCAGUCACCAUGGCCACCAUGCCUCCUUCUCUCAGCUCACCCAGCCUCACUUCCUUAAACAGCCACAACACUGUCACCUUGUCCACAACUGCCAUCUCUGUACCUCCUGUCAGUUCAGGGACACUGGGGACCGUCACAUCCACAAUUCCCUCUUCACAUAGCCCAGAACAGCCAACCAUAUCAGACACAUCUCUCCCCUCCUCAUCCAUGGGCAGCAUCACAGAGUCACUCAUGACACACACAGCUGUGACUUCCCCAGUCACGUCCUCGGUAACAGUCACAGGCCCACUCACAGAUGCCAAAUCUUCCAGUCCCUCCCACAUGACCUCCAAUAUUCUGAGCUCAGGCACAAGUAUGGCUGCAUCCUCUACAUCUGCUUCAGGCUCACAACCAGACUCCACUGUCAGCCUGUCCAGCUCCCCAUUGUCUGCGGAGGUGACCUCACUCCCAGUUACACACAGCAAAUCUGCAGCUACAUCUCAGGUCACCUUCCCCAGAUCUGUUACCAGCUCUGUUGCCUAUUCCCCUUCCCUCUUCCCCCCAUCGACCUCCACCUUAGCCACAAGAACAAUAGACACCUCUGCCACAGCCACCUCAUCCUCCCUGCUCACUUCAGAAACAAGCAAUAUUGUCACCACACAGCCAGACACCAUGGCCACCAUGCCUUCCUCUCUCAGCACACCCAACCUCACCUCUUUAAACAGCCACCCCACUGUCACCUUGUCUACAACUGCCAUCUCCAUACCUCUUGUCAGUUCAGGGACCAUGGGGACCCUGGAGACACUCACACCCACUGUCCCAUCUUCACUUAGCUCAGGCCUGCCUACCAUGACAGACACAGCUCUGCCCUCCUCUUCAAUAGGCAUUACGGAGCCUUUGGCCACAGAGUCACACACUGAAACCCACACAGUUACUAGCCUGUCACCAACUGAUUUCAUCUCAUCUAACCCCACCAACAGCAGGCACACCAACACUCCCCUUGUUUACACACCACACACCACCAGCAGUGAGACAGCUGUUUCUGUCAGUACUGGAAGCUCUCCACCUCCCCUUGCCUCCAGCUACCCUGCUGCCUCUUCCUUCUCCUCAUCCUCUUCUGCUAGGACAGCUGAGACUACACAGAGGAACAUUGUCCCCUCAGCUCCAACCAUCACACAUACACUGCACUCCACAGCUGAGUCCACCCUGACACCCACAACCCUCACCACACGCACAGCCCCCACAUCCACCCAGCCUCUUUCUCCUACCUCAGCUGUGACUGGAACAGACCAACCCUCUCUUCCCAGCCUAGCCACUGUUACCAGCUCUGUUACCCAUUCCCCAUCCCAUGUCACCUCUCCUACCACUAUCUUAGCCACAAGGACCCCAGACACACCGGUCACACCCACUUUGCCUUCCCAGUUCACUUUAGAAACAAGCAAUGCUGUCACCACACAGCUGGUCACCAAAGCCACCCUGCCUCCCUCUCUCAGCUCACCUAGCCUAACCUCCUUAAACAGCCACCCCACUGCCACCUUGUCCACAACAGUCACCUCUUCACUUGCUGCUACUUCAGGGACACUGGUGACCCUCAGAUCCACAAUUCCCUCUUCACAUAGCUCAUUCGUGCCCACCAUGACAGACACAGCUCUCAUCUCCUCAUCCAUGGGCAGCAUCACAGAGUCACUCAUGACAGACACAGCUGUGACUUCCCCAAUCACGUCCUCGGUAACUGUCACAGGCCCACUCACAUAUGCCACAUCCAUCAGUCCCUCUCAAAUGACCUCGAAUAUUCUGACCUCAGGCACAAGUAUGGCUCCAUCUUCUGCAUCUGCCUCAGGCUCACAACCAGACUCCACUGUCAGCCUGUCCAGCUCCCCAUUGUCUGCGGAGGUGACCUCACUCCCAGCUACACAUGCCACAUCUGCAGCUACAUCAAAGGUCACCUUCCCCAGCUCUGUUGUCUAUUCCCCUUCCAACAUCCCCUCUCCGACCUCCACCUUAGCCACAAGGACCACAGACACCCCUGCCACAACCACUUCACUCAUCCUGCUCACCUCAGAAACAAGCAAUACUGUCACCACACAGCCAGUCACCAUGGCCACCCUGCCUUCCUCUCUCAGCACUCCCAGCCUCACCUCUUUAAACGGCCACCCCACUGUCACCUUGUCCACAACUGCCAUCUCUUCACUUGCUGCUACUUCAGGGACACUGGGGACCCUCACACCCACAGUUUCCUCUUUACAUAGCCCAGGACAGCCAACCACAACAGACACAGCUCUCCCCUCCUCAUCCCUGGGCAGUACCACAGAUUCACUUAUGACACACACAGCUGUGACUUCCCCAAUCAUGUCCUCAGUAACUGUCACAGGCCUUCUCACAGAUGCCACAUCCACGAGCUCUUCUCACAUCACCUCCAGUAUUGUGACCUCACACAGGGGUACAGCUCAGUCCUCUAUGUCAGUUUCAAGUUCACAACCAGACUCUACUGUCAGCAGGUCCAGCUCCCCGGUGUCUGUGGAGGUGACCUCACCCCCAGUUACACACGCCACAUCUUCAGCUACAUCUCAGGUCACCUUCCCUAACUCUGUCACCAGCUCUGUUGUCCAUCCCCCUUCCCAUGUCACCUCUCCGACCUCCAUCUUAGCCACAGGGAUGCCAGACACCUCUGUCACACCCUCCUGGCCAUCCCUGCUCACUUCAGAAACAAGCAAUACUGUCACCACACAGCCAGUCACCAAGUCCACCAUGCCUCCCUCUCUCAGUAUGUCCAUCCUCAUCUCAAAAAUCAGCCACCCAACUGUCACCUUGUCCACAACUUCCAUCUCUUUACCUGCUGCCACUACAGAAGCACUGGGGACUCUCAAACCUACAAUUCCCUUUUCAUCAAGCUCAGGUCAGCCUGCAACGAUAAAUACAUCUCUCCCCUCCUCAUCUAUGGGCAUAUCUACAGAGUCACUCAUGACAGACACAGCUGUGACUCCUCCAAUCACAUCCUCGGUAACUGUCACAGGCCCUCUCACAGAUGCCACAUCCAUCAGUCCCUCCCAAAUGACCUCGAAUAUUCAGACCUCAAGCACAAGUAUGGCUCCAUCCUCUACAUCUGUCUCAGGCUCACAACCAGACUCCACUGUUAGUGUGUCCAGCUCCCCAUUGUCUGUGGAGGUGACCUCACUCCCAGUCACACACGCCACAUCUGCAGCUACAUCUCAGGUCACCUUCCCCAGCUCUGUUACCAGCUCUGUUGUCUAUUCCCCUUCCCAUGUCACCUCUUCUACAUCCAUCUUAGCCUCAAGGUCCCUAGAAACCUCUCUCACACCCACCCCGCCCUCCCUGCUCACUUCAGGAAUAAGCAAUGCUGUCACCACACAGCUGGUCACCAAGGCCACCCUGCCUCCCUCUCUCAGCUCACCCAGCCUAACCUCCUUAAACAGCCAUCCCCCUGUCACCUUGUCCACAACUGCCAUCUCCUUACCUGCUGCCACUACAGGGACACUGGGGACCCUCACACCCACAAUUCCCUCUUCACAUAGCUCAGUCCUGUCCACCAUGACAGACACAGCUCUCCUCUCCUCAUCUCUGGGCAGCACCACACAGUCACUCAUGACAGACACAGCUGUGACUUCCCCAAUCACGUCCUCGGUAACUGUCACAAGCCCUCUCACAUAUGCCAAAUCCACCAGUCCAUCCCACAUAACCCCUAAUAUUCUGACCUCAGGCACAAGUAUGGCUCCAUCCUCUACAUUUGUCUCAAGUUCACAACCAGACUCCACUGUCAGCAUUUUCAGCUCCCCGAUGUCUGCUGAGGUGACCUCACUCCCACUUACACACAGCAAAUCUGCAGCUACAUCUCAGGUCACCUUCCCCAGGUCUGUUAUCACCUCUGUUGUCUAUUCCCCUUCCCACGUCACCUCUCCUACCUCCAUUGUAGACACAAGGACCCCAGACACCUCUCUCACACCCACCUGGCCCUCCAUGCUCACUGCAGGAACAAGCAAUACUGUCACCACAGAGCCAGUCACCAAGGCCACCAUGCCUCAGUCUCUCAGCAUGUCCAGCCUCACCUCCUUAAAGAGCCACCCCACUGUCACCUUGUCUACAACUGCCAUCUCCUUACCUCAUGUCAGUUCAGGGACCAUCGGGACCCUGCAGACACCCAUACCCACCUUCACAUCUUCACUUAGCUCAGGUCUGCCUACCAUGACAGACACAGCUCUGCCCUCCUCAUCCAUAGGCAUUACGGAGCCUUUGGCCACAGAGUCACACACUGAAACCCACACAGUUACUAGCCUGUCACCAACUGAUUUCAUCUCAUCUAACCCCACCAACAGCAGGCACACCAACACUCCCCUUGUUUACACACCCCACACCACCAGCAGUGAGACAGCUGUUUCUGUCAGUACUGGAAGCUCUCUAACUCCCCUUGCCUCCAGCUACCCUGCUGCCUCUUCCUUCUCCUCAUCCUCUUCUGCCAGGACAGCUGAGACUACACAGAGGGACAUUGUCCCCUCAGCUCCAACCAUCACACAUACACUGCACUCCACAGCUGAGUCCACCCUGACACCCACAACCCUCACCACAUGCACAGCCCCCACAUCCACCCAGCCUCUUUCUCCUACCUCAGCUGUGACUGGAACAGACCAACCCUCUUUUCCCAGCCUAGCCACUGUUACCAGCUCUGUUACCCAUUCCCCAUCCCAUGUCACCUCUCCUACCACUAUCUUAGCCACAAGGACCCCAGACACCUCGGUCACACCCACUUUGCCCUCCCAGUUCACUUUAGAAACAAGCAAUGCUGUCACCACACAGCUGGUCACCAAGGCCACCCUGCCUCCCUCUCUCAGCUCACCCACCCUCACCUCCUUAAACAGCCACCCACCUGUCACCUUGUCCACAACUGCCAUCUCUUCACUUGCUGCUACUUCAGGGAUACUGGGGACCCUCACACCCACAGUUUCCUCUUUACAUAGCCCAGGACAGCCAACCACAACGGACACAGCUCUCCCCUCCUCAUCCAUGGGCAGCACCACAGAUUCACUUGUGACACACACAGCUGUGACUUCCCCAAUCAUGUCCUCAGCCACUGUCACAGGCCCUCUCACAGAUGCCACAUCCAUCAGUCCCUCUCAAAUGACCUUGAAUAUUCUGACCUCAGGAACAAGUAUGGCUGCAUCCUCUACAUCUGCCUCAGGCUCACAACCAGACUCCACUGUUAGUGUGUCCAGCUCCCCAUUGUCUGCGGAGGUGACUUCACUCCCAGUUACACACGCCACAUCUGCAGCUACAUCUCAGGUCACCUUCCCCAGUUCUGUUACCAGCUCUGUUGUCUAUUCCCCUUCCAACAUCCCCUCUCUGACCUCCACCUUAGCCACAAGGACCACAGACACCCCUGCCUCAGGCACUUCACCCAUCCUGCUCACUUCAGAAACAAGCAAUACUGUCACCACACAGCCAGUCACCAUGGCCACCCUGCCUUCCUCUCUCAGCACACCAAGCCUCACCUCUUUAAACAGCCACCCCACUGUCAACUUGUCCACAACUGCCAUAUCCUUGCCUGCUGCCACUACAAGGACAAUGGGGACCCUCACACCCACAAUUCCCUCUUCACAUAGCUCAUUCGUGCCCACCAUGACAGACACAGCUGUGACUUCCCCAGUCACGUCCUCGGUAACUGUCACAGGCCCACUCACAUAUGGAAGAUCCACCAGUCCCUCCCACGUGACCCCCAAUAUUCUGACUUCAGGCACAAGUAUGACUCGGUCCUCUAUGUCUGCCUCAAGUUCACAACCAGACUCCAGUAUCAGCGUGUCCAGCUCCCCGUUGUCUGCCGUGGUGACCUCACUCACAGUUACACAUGCCACAUCUGUAGCUACGUCUCAGGUCACCUUCCCUAGUUCUACCUCUAUGCCAGACAGCACUUCAGUCCUUGCCAGUGACACAUCUACCCUCACAAACUUCCCGACCCAAACCCAACCAUCUCCACUCAUCUCAGGCACCACUACGACUCUCUCUCCAGGCUUAUAUGCCACAGUCACCUUGACUCCCUCUACAAGCUAUUCUCCCUCUUCCAAUUCAAACACCCAACCCCCUGACAGCACAACCACAGCCAUCACCUCCUCACUUCCUAUAACCUCUGGUCACCUGGAGACACUAACCUCUCUAACUUCAUCUUUGCCUAGUGAAGGAACCCCUACCAUUUUCAAUACGGGUACAUCUGCCAUGACAGCUACCACCUCAACCCAUUCACGUUCUAGUCUGUUACAAACCCAUACCAGUCUCAUCCCACCAUCCUCCAUCACCCAGAACACAGGUAUUUCCAGUCUCAGCACCACCCACUCCAUUGCCCCCAUUAUGACAACUACUGUCACAGUGACUGGGGAUACCCCAAGGGGUUCUCUUGGGACAGGUAUGUCAGUUUCACCUGGAAUUCCACUGUCAAAGUCAACUUCUAUUGCCUCUGUUCCUACUAGUGCUUCUCCUACAAGUCCAGAUCACCCCCUCUCUUCCUUUCAUACUCAGAGUCUGUCACCAAACUUCAGUCCUAGCUUGUCAGCGUCCCAUGUCCCCAGUACAAGCACCGUUCCAUCUACUCUUAGUACUCUCGUGUCCACCCCAACGUCACUAACUACACUUACUUCAUCAGGUGAGCCCAGAACACAUUCCCUCCCCUGGGGAAGUUCUUCUACAAAUGCAGUGGUGACUGCUUUUGCUACCCUGAUCUCUUCAACACCUUCAGUAAUAAUGUCUGCUUCUCCAUCUCUCCCUGCUAUGAGACCAGUGCUAACGACGACUACUAAACCUCCUUCUCCCUUCUCCCUGAGCUCCAGUACAGAAGCUACAGUCUCUUCUGUAGUGACAUCCUUUCCUCCUUCUUCAACCACCAGAACUUCCCCAACCACCUCACCGCUGACCACAGCUCAUACCGUAUCAACUCCUUUCUCUUAUAUCUCCCUUCCUUCUACUACACCCUGUCCAGAAACCAUCACCGUCACCAUAGUCCCCAGCUCUCCCCUGACUCCGUGUGUUGACAUCAAUCCCAGUACUGAAGCGACAUCUGCUCCUAUCACCCCAUUCUCUGUCAUUCCCUCUACCACCAACAUGGUUACCUCGUCCAUGACACCAGAAACCCAGCCGUCAGACACCAUCACUGAGGCUCCUAGCUCAACAGACACUAGGACAAUAGUCACAGAUACAGUCUUCAGGAGCUCCCCAAUGUCCACCAGGGACGAUCGGUUCAGUGCCACCUCUAUCACCACCCCAAAUACACCUGGCUCUAUCAGUGUCCCCUCAAGCCUGAAACCAAGCAACAGUUUUCAAACUACCACAACUUCAAGCAAGGUGACACAGCCUAUUCUGCCGGCCACAAAGACACCAGAGACGUCGGUGGCCACCAUGAAGUCUCCUACCACCCUUACAUCACCACGAUCAAGAUCAACUUCAGCCUCUACUCUGAUGACCACUCCAGCGAGCUUGACUACGACCCCAGGUGUUUGUGACAAUGGUGGCACCUGGGAGCAGGGCCAGUGCAUUUGCCCUCCUGGUUUCUCUGGAGACUACUGUCAAGAUCUGGAUAACAGAUGCCAGAAUGGGGGUUCAUGGGAUGGCAUCAAGUGUGUCUGCCCCAGCACCUUCUAUGGGUCCUUCUGUGAGAUUCCAGUGGAGCAGUUAGACAUAGACACAGUGGAGACUGAAGUGGGCAUGGAGGUAUCUGUGGAGCAGGAAUUCUCUCCAGACCUUGAAGACAACACUUCCAAGGCCUACAAAGACUUCAGCAGUGCCUUCCAGCAUCAGAUGCAGAAGAUUUUCCAGGCUGUUCAAGGCUUCCAAGGUGUGGAAAUCCUGUCCUUGAGCGCUGUGUUUUAAGUCUGACUCCAUCAAGGUGAACAAUCGCACUGAGAAAGAUCUGACUCCAGAAGCCAUUUGUCAUCGAACUGCUCCCAAGGGUUUUGAGGAACACUACUUUCCUUUGGUGGAGCUGAGCAGGCUCCGCUGUGUCACCAAUUGCACACCUGGCGUGAAUGGCACCAUCGACUGCAACCAUGGACAGUGUUUUCUGCAGAAGAGCGGUCCAACCUGCCGGUGAGGUCCCGCCCCACUCCAUAGGCCACGCCCACUCGCCCAAGUGGUCUCCCUGGUGCCACGCCCACCACCUCCCAGAAGAGUCCGGGUCCACUGACUGCCCCAGGGUGGAGACGACUGCAAUCCCCCUUCACCUUUGUGUGGCUUCCUGGGAAUGAACCCAGGUUACCUCACCAUGCUAGAGCAGCAAGCACCUUUGCUCCCCCCACCCCCGUCCCCACCCCAGUCAUAUUGCUUGUCCUUUUCCCUCCCUUCCUCUCUCUCUCUCUACUGUCUUUCCCAGGCUGGCCUCAAUCAUUUAACUUAGUAGUGAAGACUGGCUUUUAACUCCUUUGUCUUUACCCCCAACUAUAAAUGUGAGCCACCACAUCCCACUGUCCCUUCUGGAGACCCUGCUCUAUACAGACCAAACUCUCCAAGGUCCUGGCCACUUGCUCUAGGAUGGCGGACCCCAGCCUGUGUGGCCCCGCCUACUAGCAUGUGACCUGUCUGAGCUCUGUAACUCUCUCUCCAGCUGCUUUUCCACAGACACGUACUGGGUCUCAGGCCCACGCUGUGAGUUGGCCGUUGACUGGAGGGUUUUGGUUGGAGGCCUGGUGGGGGCUGUCAUUGUGCUGCUGCUGUUAUUGGUGGCUUUAAGUGUCUGGGUGGCACGUUCCCGGGGAAGAGACAAGGACCGCCAGUCCUCGGGCAGGUGAGCUGGAGGGGCAGAGGGGUGCUUAGGGGUCUCCUGACACCACAGUUUUGCCCAGUUACUGACUUCCUGAGCUGCCUAGGUCCUGGACCCAGGACAGGAAAUGGUUUGAGAUCUGGGAUGAAGACAUCGCGGGAACUUUUUCUAACACGGGCUUCCAGGAUGCCCCGACAGGUACGUCUUGAUACCUAAGGACAGGGCUUGCCCUGGGCUGUACCGCAGUCUGAGGAGGGUAUGUUGACCUCCUUAGCUGGGACAGACAUGGGUCUGGUGCCCAGGAGUGGAGAUUCCCAGACCAUCCCUGGGUCACGUGGUCUCUGUUUCCUCUGCUCUACCGCCCUCCUUUCUUGUCUCUGCAGCCACUAAUGAAAACUUCCAUGUUGCCUUGGAGAAGGUGGAUACCAACAUGAUGGUGAGGUCACCAUGAAGGGUUACUAAGCAACCCUCCCUAACUCAAAUCCUUGGUUCCUUCUCAGGGCAGGUGCCUAGGUUGGGAGUAAGCAAUGGCUUUCUCAGCAAUCUCACUCUCAAUGUCGAUUCUGUGGCAGGUUCACAUCCAAAGACCUGAGGUAGCCUCAUCAUCACCACCAUCACCAUCACCAUCACCAUCAUCAUCACCAUCACCAUCAUCAUCGUCCUGAGCCCUUGCAGGGUCUCUUCUGUGCUCCCCCACUCUGCCCGGGGCUGUACAAUUGAGCCCAUUGUGCAAGAACUGCUUCAAGUACCCACACAGCCCAGGCUCCCAGUGUUCUUGGUGGGAGGGGUUCCUGUUUCCUUGACCUCCCAUCCUUCUCUUUGUUUGACAGAAACCCACUUGGAGAACAUGUAUCUCUGCUCUUCACUCCAGUAUGGUGGGCAAGGCCAUCUCAGUCUCUUGCCUCAGUCUCCUCAGCUGUGAAAUGGGUGUGAUGCACUUAUACCAUGACUCUAAAACUUAGCGCAAUUACUUCACGCCUUUGGUUGAUUUUUGCGGGUAGCAGGGCUUAUAUCUCCUGUUGCUUUUCUCAGAUUCUCUCUCCCACCUGACUCUACCACCUUGCAGUGUCAGGUCUCCGUUGUUCCUCUGAGACAGAGUUUAAUGAGGUUCUGGGGAUCGAACCUAGGAUUAUGUGUAUGCUAGACAAGAGCUCUACCCAUUGAGCCACGCACCCCCAGCCAUUGGCUCUUACUCUUGGAUUUGCACUCUAUUGCCAUCCUGGUGAGGCUUACCCUUCAUCUUGCAUGUUUACAUAGCCUGACAUUAUUCCUGGGGGCAGCAUGAAGGAAGUCACACCUCCGUCUCUCUCCUCAUGGCUCCUUGCUGUGGCCCCUACUCUCACGCCCCAAAGCUCCUCGAGUUGAUACUUGUGCCAGUCUCCUCCCUUAGCCCUAUUGCUCUCUCAGUUGACAGGCUGGUCUCCAACUCUCUGACCAGGACCUUGAUUCCUUGCUCCUCUAUCCUGGCACCUACAAACCUGCUCCCUCCUCCAUCCCAACAGCUAUCCCCAAAUCCUACCUCGUUCCCACACCUCCCUGUUCCUAGGGGUCCUCGUACAGCCAGGGUGCCAUCGGGUCCCCAGUUAAUGCUUCCCAAGACCCUACUUCCGUACCCUGAGGCUCCAACCUCUUCUUUCCACCCUUGAUGAUUGCGAAUCCCAGGCAGGGAUUUGUCGACGAGGGGACACGACCCGUCUCCUUAUUUCCUCUCCCCUCCCAGUCUUCACCUCCUCUUCCACGUUGAUGUCUUUUCUUUUGUUUCCAUCACUCAGAAACUGAUGUGACCUCUGAGCUUGGAACCCUCAGUUCCCUUUGCCAGGACGGUUCUGGGGACAGGAAGUCAGCGAGUGUCUAGUUCCCCAUAUAAAUCUAAUAAAUACAUUGGCUGUAAACAAA